UACGGAGGAUCCGGGCGUUAUCCGGAUUUAUUGGGUUUAAAGGGUGCGUAGGCGGGUUAUCAAGUCAGCGGUAAAAUCGUGGAGCUCAACUCCAUCCAGCCGUUGAAACUGAUGAUCUUGAGUGGGCGAGAAGUAUGCGGAAUGCGUGGUGUAGCGGUGAAAUGCAUAGAUAUCACGCAGAACUCCGAUUGCGAAGGCAGCAUACCGGCGCCCGACUGACGCUGAAGCACGAAAGCGUGGGUAUCGAACAGG
rnacentral:rRNA from 1 species